rnacentral:misc_RNA from 1 species
CUUGAUUCUUAAUCCUUAUGUAACAAACCAGAACACAUGUGGUGGUGAUUUUUGCCUCUGUAUUAUCAGCUUCUGGGUUACAGAAGGGAAGUUGGGAUAUGAGUUUCCCCAAAAACCACUUUCUGGGUUUUCAAAUUCAGAGGAAAGUUUGAGUUUGGGAAUUCUUUUCUCAUAUCAAAAUCUAUGCUUUUGAGCUCAAUAUCAGGUAUUAGACUUUCAUUUCUCUGGUCUAGAAGUCCAUAGAUUGUUUGCACCUCUCAAUUUUUUUUUAAUUAAUUGUCAGCUAUCUGUGAUGAAGAGUUUGGGAAUCUGCUGUGGAUGUUCAUUAAUCCAGGUUUCUUUUAAGAUUGCCGGCGACUGUAUCUUGGAAGUUUGAGAAUUGGGAUUUCAAGUAUGAAGUGUUAUCUGUAAGGAUGUGGUUAGAUGCCUGUGAAAUUCAUGCUUGAUCAUGUUGAAACCGAUAUUUUCACGCCUUUGAAAUGCAAGAAUCAAGAUUUCAGGAGUGAAGUAAGCUAUAUCUUAUAGUGAGAUGAGGUGCUGAUUUUUUAGUUGCUCUUUGUGUAUGAUCAUGAAGAAGUAGAAAUAAUUUCUGGGUUUGCUAAUUCAAAAAAUCAGGAUUUCAUUUAUAAGCAAAUGAUUACUUUCUGAAAUUGAUUGAUAAUUCAGUGAGAUAUUUUGUAUGAUCAUGGAGAAGCAGAGCAGUUUUAAGGGACGAACAAUGGAGAAACAGCAAAGUUUUAAACAGAAAGUGAUGGAAAAACUCCCUAGUUUUCGAGGCGGAACGGAAAACCAGUCCACUUCCCGUGGAGUAAUGGAAAAGCACCCCAGUUUUCGUGGAGCACUCGAGAAACAGAAGAGUUUUCGUGGGUUUAUGGAAAACCAGAAGAGCAUUCGUGCUGUGAUGGAGAGGCAGCUCAGUUUUAUUGGCGGUGGUGAGAGGAAGAAGAGCAAGGAGUCGCCUGGAAAGCGAGGUGACUCACAGAUUCAUUUGGCAGCUCGUGCAGGAAAUUUGAGUAGAGUUAGGGAGAUUCUUCAGAAUUGUGAUGGUAAUGAUGCAAAGGAUUUGUUGGCAAUUCUGAAUCAAGAAGGAGAAACUCCCCUCUAUGCAGCAGCAGAAAAUGGUCAUGCGGGAGUGGUUGCAGAGAUGUUGGGAUACAUGGACCUGGACACUGCUUCUAUUGCAGCUAGGAAUGGAUUUGAUCCAUUCCAUAUUGCAGCUAAGCAGGGUCAUCUUGAGGUGUUGAAGGAACUCUUGCAUGGGUUCCCCAACUUGGCCAUGACCGCAGAUUUAUCUUGUACAACUGCCUUACACACAGCUGCCACUCAGGGAUACAUUGAUGUGGUGAAUCUCCUUCUGGAAACAGAUUCAAAUCUAGUUAAAAUUGCUCGGAAUAAUGGUAAAACUGCUCUUCAUUCUGCUGCAAGGAUGGGGCAUUUGGAAGUUGUGAGAUCCCUAUUAAGCAAGGAUCCAAGCACUGGCCUUAGAACUGAUAAAAAAGGACAAACUGCACUGCACAUGGCUGUGAAAGGGCAAAAUGAGGAAAUUGUUCUGGAAUUGUUAAAAUCUGACCUCUCUGUUAUGAGUUUGGAAGAUAAUAAAGGGAACACAGCAUUGCAUAUUGCUGCUUACCGGGGUCAAUUAUCUGUGGUUGAAGCUUUGAUUGUUGCAUCUCCCUCGUUGAUCUCUUCAACAAACAAUGCUGGAGAAACCUUUCUUCAUAUGGCUGUGUCCGGAUUCCAAACUCCUGCCUUUAAAAGAUUGGACCGGCAGAUUGAGCUUAUGAAGCAGUUGAUAUGUGGGAAAUUUUUCAAUGUGGAAGACAUCAUCAAUGCCAAAAGUAAUGAUGGAAGGACUGCACUCCACACAGCCAUCAUUGGGAAUGUUCACUCUGAUCUUGUGCAGCUCCUGAUGUCUGCUCAGUCAAUAAAUGUGAAUGUCCGUGAUGCAGAUGGGAUGACCCCUCUUGACCUCCUUAAGCAACGGCCAGAUUAUGUGUCAUCAGAUAUUCUGAUUAGGAAAUUGAUUUCAGCAGGUGGGAUAUUUGGUUGUCAGGAUUAUACUGCAAGAAGAGCCAUUGCCUCCCGCUUGAAGAUGCAAGGUAAUGGAGUCAGUCCUGGAACAUCAUUCAGAAUCUCCGAUGCAGAAAUCUUUUUGUAUACAGGUAUUGAGAUUGCAUCUGACAGCAGUGCUGAUCCAGCUAGUGAAGAAAGGAGUUCAUAUUCAACUGAACAUCUAGACUCAACCAAUGAGAACCAGAGCUCAACAAUUAAUAGGAAGUUAGGCUCUGUGAAUAAUGCAGCACAACAGUUGAAAAGAGUUCUCCAUUGGCCCCGUCUGAAAGAGAAAAAACCUGAAAGAUUCAGGAAAUCAUUGGAUCAAGUUUCUGUGGAAUCAUGCAAGAAAUGCAAUGGUUCAGAAGAAACUCCAACCCCACUUCGACAGAGAUUCAUGAAGCCCUCGUCUCCUUCUAACCACAAGAGGACACUUUCUGUUAGGAGUAAUCAAUCAAGUCCAACAGCCAAGAAGAAAUUUGCUUCAGGCAUAAUGCAUGGUGUUAUGCAGGCUAUGCCACAAUUAACUCUUCCACGUCGAUCACGUUCGAGUUCAUUUUCAAAAUCAUCCAUAUCUUCCCCUGGUUGGUUGGAUAAACAAAAAGGAGUGUUUCUUGACAGUGAUGUUGCCGGCCCAUCAUCUUCCAAUCAAUCAUUUGAUGAUGGAACACCAAAUGUGAUUGGGAAAGAAGGACCCACCAUGAAUAAGAAGUUGAGGAGCCAAUACUUCUGUUUCGGUGCAUCUGGCCUUUCUGCUAAAAUCCCAGUUACCAGGCCACGACAAAGCCAUAGUUCAAAUCCUUCUGUUCUUUCAGUGGCUUGAUGAAAACCAAAAAAGCUAUGCUCUUGCAGUGAUGCAGGAGUCAUAGAAAGAAAGGAGCCCAAAUCUGAAAGCCCAGAAGGAAGCAAGCAGUAAACUAGAAGAAGAUUAACAAACUCCCUAGCUGUUUCCUUCGUGUUGCAUGUCUUUUCCUUUGUAGAAGGUUGUCUUGUUGAAUAUGAGAUGGCCAUGUAAUCGUACUUAAAACUUUCUCUGAAAGUACAUCCUGUGCUUUAUGUUGCGUAAAGUAGUGGAGAAGUGUGGUAUUCUGAGCAGUUAAGCACUUAUUUUCUUCUUCCAUUUGUUUUUUUCAUUCGACUAGGAAAAUAGAAGUGAUUGGCACCUUGGCAGUCGAGUUUGCAAGAAAGAGGAAAGUAUGCUUGAGUUAGGAGUAGAAGAAGACUGCUGAUAAGUGUCUGAAGUCGAAAUGUUUUAUGUGAAACCAGGGAACCAUAAUCUAAAUUGCUUGCUUAGUUAAAAGCUGGG